rnacentral:tRNA from 1 species
GCCUCCGUAGCUCAGUUAGGUAGAGCACCCGGCUGUUAACCGGGCGGUCGCAUGUUCGAUCCAUGCCGGGGGCG